UAGAGACUGGUAGGCGCGCUUAUACCUGUAAAAUUUGACGCCAAAUCCGGCGCUAGGUAAACUCAAUCCAUAGAUGGCGCCAGGGUGAUCAGUGUACUUCAACUUAAUGUCAUUAAAAUUGUUUUAGGUUAUGAUGUUAUGUACAAAAAUUUUUUACUUAGCGACUUGGUGUGGUUUGGCAUCUACAGUGUGUUAUACCUAGUUAUUGUUGCAAACAAUUUCGAGCAUUGAGGGGUUCCACUAAAAAGGAUGCUCGUUAUCACAGUAAAUAGUAGCGCAAUACCUGCAUUACAGACUUCUCACCCCGUCUAGCUGUCGGAGCUUUACUGGAUCAAGCGAAGUCAACAAGUCAUUGAUCAAUGUAAACCAUAUGUGAACAAACCAGGAGCCGCCCUUCUUAUAUUAAGAUAAGCAUCAAAUGACCCUCACCUACACAAUCUACGGUGUAAGCAAUCAUGCCGAGAGCUGUAAGAACCUCUGACACAAAAUCAUUAUUGCCUGUUUGAUUAGCGAGAUUCUCGGCUGCUGAGAUGGGGAUUGAAGGAACUGGCAAAAGUCUACAUUAUUACUGUUAAGAUGGAAGGAGUGUGGCAGUGCUGGAGGCUGAACUACAAAACGGGAGUAGGAAACUGUGGCUUAUCCUAACCUUAGUCAUCUUCCCAUUUAACGCCUCUGCAAAACGACCAACUUCGGACUUCAGAAGAAUGACAGAUCACUGCGUAGGCAACGACGUGGAAUUGUAUUAGGUGUCGAUGCUAACGAUGUGUGGGGAAACACAACUACACUACACUUCUGCACAGCUUCCUUGCCUUGGGUCUCAUGCCGAGUACAAUUACUUAGUGGUCGCUCUUCUACUUUCCAUGGAAAUUUAAAAUACAGAUGCGUUAAAACAUAGACCCUUUUUCCAUAUUAUUAUCAGGGAAACUGCCUGUUACAUUUUUUACAAAUAUUUACAAAUAAAUUUUCUAUAAACAACGUCAACAAUUUAAUGAGACCAAUUUUGCUAGUUACGCAUAUUUUUAAGAAGCUGCGCGUUAUGACAAUCUACAAAACAAGAAUUGUAAUUAUUGCAUUUACACUAAGUAGGUAUUUUGACUAAAAAAAAAGUCGAAAUGCUUCAAUUACAUACUGAAGGAACUCGAAGUAAAGAUGUAUCACGAGUUAAGGGCGUAUUGUGGUCUCAAAUCAAACACUUUCUCAUAUUUGAUGGUUUAAUUCAAAUUUAAAUGACGUGUUAGAAUAAAUUGACAGUUUUGUGAAGUACACUGGGAUGGGUGGCGACAUCUAGGGAGCGAUUUUAACUGGCGCCGCAUUCUGUCUUACAUAAUGGCGGCGAGUCAUCCUACCAUCUUUAAUAUAUCUUGGUUGUAAUCAA